rnacentral:rRNA from 1 species
AUGGUAGAAGGCGGCAGCGGCGCGGGGGCUACGUCGACCUGCCGGCGCGGCGGCGGCGGCGGCAUCGUCGGCCCGGCGGCCCAGCGGUGCUGCGGCGGCGGGUGCGGGCUCGGACGCCUGGUGCGCCGGCUGCGUCGCCAGGGGAGGCAGGCGCUGUGCGCGGCCAGGCCGGCGGCGUCGUCGUCGGCGCUCCGGGGGUGCCAGUACGACCCGCUGAGCUACGCGCGCAACUUCGACCAGAGCGGCUUCGACGCGGACGCGGCCAGCCUCUACUACAGCUACACCUUCUCGUCCCGCUUCGUGCUCGCGCCAGGCAGCGCCACCUCGUCCUCAACCGCCGUCGCGGCCGUCGUCCCCGCGCCGAACGGCCUCGUCGUCGCCAGCCGGCCAACCGCCGCCAGCCAUUAG